rnacentral:rRNA from 1 species
UUUUGGACAAUGGGGGCAACCCUGAUCCAGCCAUGCCGCGUGAGUGAAGAAGGCCUUCGGGUUGUAAAGCUCUUUCGGACGGAACGAAAUGGGCGGGACUAAUACUCCUGUCUGAUGACGGUACCGUAAGAAGAAGCACCGGCUAACUACGCGCCAGCAGCCGCGGUAAUACGUAGGGUGCGAGCGUUAAUCGGAAUUACUGGGCGUAAAGCGUGCGCAGGCGGUUUCGUAAGCUGGAGGUGAAAUCCCCGGGCUUAACCUGGGAAUGGCCUUCAGGACUGCGAGGCUAGAGUGCGGCAGAGGGAGGUGGAAUUCCACGUGUAGCAGUGAAAUGCGUAGAGAUGUGGAGGAACACCGAUGGCGAAGGCAGCCUCCUGGGCCAGCACUGACGCUCAUGCACGAAA